rnacentral:lncRNA from 1 species
CCGGGGACCGAGGCAGAAGAGGAGCGCGGCAGCGGCGGGGCGAUCCCGCGAGUUCCUUCCAGUGAACACCUCCUGGGGGUGUCCGGAGGGCUGGGGGUGGGCGCCGCGGCGCCUACAUUAGCCCCGCCGGGCUGCGCCCAGGCGGCAGUCGGGUCGGAGCCGCCGCCGGACUCAGCGCCGCGCGCGCCCCGCGCUGCGCCCCGCGCCCGGCUCUGCGCGAUCAGCUCCCCGGCGUCAGAGGCGCGCCCGGCCCUCCGGCCGCUCUCCCCCGCCGGCUCGCGGGGCGCGUGGGCUCGGCGGAGGCGGAGAGGGGGAGGCUGCAGGCGGGGAGAAGAGGCGGGCCCGCGGCGGCCGGAGCCCAGAGGAGAGUGGCAUGCCCGAGCCCUGGAGGCGGAGGUGGCGAAGCCGGCCGCGGGGAGACGAUGCCGCGGCUCCGUAGGGGAGGAAGGCGACAGAGAGCCAGGCGAGCCGGGCGCCCGGGCGCCCGCCGGCUGCGGGGAAGCGCGCGCCGCUCCGAGGCUCCGGCCUCCGCACCCCAGCACCCCGACGCUGCGGGCGACAGGGCCGGGCUCCGGCAGCCGCCGCCGCCGCCGCCGCCGCCUGGAGGACGGAGCAAAAGUUUGGAUCUGGGGGAGGACGCGGCGCCGAGCGGGAUUCCUACCGGGGCCGCCUGGAGACCUCCUAAACCUUCGCAGAGCAUCACCUUUGGCAUGCCAACCCUGACUCACCUCCAUGUACCUUUCCACGGGGACCAUACCUCAGCUUGGAACAAGCCCUACGUCUAGACUGUGACCCUGGGAACCAUGGCUAUGAUGUCUCUGCUGGUCUACAAAGAUUUUUAUCAGAAAGCAUUCUAAGCACUGGCUUCCCACAACUCAUCUCGCACAUGACUCUUGGCAGAGUCAAGAAGAUAUUUUAUUGCAGAAUAUUAACACGUAAAUCAUUGCUCUGUUUAUAUCAUGCUUAUUCUGUGCUUAUAGAAUGAUUAUGCC